UGGCGCUAGGAUCUGGGGUUGAUGGUGGGAGAUGCACUUGCUGUGCCCAUGUGGCUUGUGGCCAUGUGGGCUCCGCACAUGGACUACUAGACUUGAAUUAGCUUGGAUACUAACUACUCAAGACUGUAACAUGGAAAGGAAGCUCUGGACACUGGCCUGUUCCUGGAACCCCAGCUGAACCUUUUUAGGACUGACUUCUCUCAGUAAACUUCUGUUUAACAAUCAUUUUGGUCUGGGGCUUCAUUCUUCUAUUUCACAAGAUAAUGAACUAGGACUCAGCAUCCCACAUCUGGGAUUCACUCUCUCUGCUGGGCUGUUGAGUUGAAUUUUAUCUUCGGCCCUUUGUGCUCCUCCUUCUCAGGUCUUCAGCCUGGGACUGCAAUUUACAUCAUUGGCUCCCGGGCUCUGAACCCUUCCAGCCACAUCACCAACUCUCCUGGGUCUCCAGCUAACAGAAGGCAGAUCAUGGGACUUCUGUGCCUCCAUAGUCAUGCUUCUCAGGUAACGCUUGAGUUCUGGGCACCAAUGCUGCUGAAAAACCUUCAAAAAAGCAAAUCUACUCUCCAUUACUGAAGUGCAAUAUUCCCAGUUCCCCAGAAAUUGGUCUCAGAACCCAUCUCAUUUUGGUAACGUGUGCCCUGAGGAGGAACCAAGAUGACAG